rnacentral:rRNA from 1 species
UACGGGGGGGGCAAGCGUUUGUUCGGAAUUACUGGGCGUAAAGAGCUCGUAGGUGGUUUGUCGCGUUGUCCGUGAAAACUCACAACUCAAUUGUGGGCGUGCGGGCGAUACGGGCAGACUGGAGUACUGCAGGGGAGACUGGAAUUCCUGGUGUAGCGGUGAAAUGCGCAGAUAUCAGGAGGAACACCGGUGGCGAAGGCGGGUCUCUGGGCCGAUACUGACGCUGAGGAGCGAAAGCAUGGGUAGCGAACAGG